rnacentral:lncRNA from 7 species
AUUUCUGGGAAGAGAGGCCCAAGCUAUCAUUGAAAGUUGCUCCUAGAGUCAGUAUCAGAAAGAGGGUGUAUCUGUUCAGGUUGGAACAGUUCCUCAAGGAGCUGAAGUGGAUUUCAGCCCCUGGAAACCUCUCUAUGAGCAGAGGAAGUCGCAUUGUUGCCUGAGGAAGGAUCUCAGGAAGGACUGGUGUGUGCUACUUCACCAUGUAUCCUGCCCACAAUAGUUCCUUCGAGAUGUUACUGAAUUACAAGGUCUGAGAAAUCCCAACCACUAGCCAACAGAUCCCUAAGAAGAGCAUCAAGACACAAAGGGAUGUGUUCUUCACUGAGGAGAAAAAGAAGAACCUGUAUUCCUGUUAUGUGACUGCUACUGGCGUACAGCUCACCCAUCCUGCCCUUUUCUUUCCUCUGGCUCAACAAUCCCAAGACUCCAAUGUGCUGUUUGCCUGAUCUCAGAGACAAUGGGUGAAGAAGCCCUGAAGAUGAGUAGGCACCACUCACUAGGAGCAAUGGGGAUUGCAGAAUUUGAUACAGAAACCAGUGAUACUGCAGGCAAAGCCAUGGGAAGAUGUGAUCCAAGGACUUUCUGCUGUGCCUGGGCUCAUUUCCAUACUGAGUGUCCAAAGGGCUCUGAGGAAGCAGCACCCUGCAGGACACCCUUGGCAGAACAGUGGACAGCUCAGGGGCACCUGACCGAGGAGGGAAUGAAAUAAGUCGCAGUCCCACAGAGGUGCAACAGUCCUUGCCUUCUCUUCCCUAGCUUUCUUGUUAGAGUCAGUCUUUACAAGAAGACCAUCAUGGCACCUUUGAUGAAUCUUCAAGAUGCCAAAACAUUGCUGAGCUGAUGGAUAAUUUCAGUUACUUCCUGCCAAAAUCUGGCUGCACCAGAUGAUUUAUUCAUAAAAAAAUCAUAGC